rnacentral:rRNA from 1 species
AAUGAACGCUGGCGGCAUGCCUAACACAUGCAAGUCGAACGAGACCUUCGGGUCUAGUGGCGCACGGGUGCGUAACGCGUGGGAAUCUGCCCUUGGGUUCGGAAUAACAGUUAGAAAUGACUGCUAAUACCGGAUGAUGACGAAAGUCCAAAGAUUUAUCGCCCAAGGAUGAGCCCGCGUAGGAUUAGCUAGUUGGUGAGGUAAAAGCUCACCAAGGCGACGAUCCUUAGCUGGUCUGAGAGGAUGAUCAGCCACACUGGGACUGAGACACGGCCCAGACUCCUACGGGAGGCAGCAGUGGGGAAUAUUGGACAAUGGGCGAAAGCCUGAUCCAGCAAUGCCGCGUGAGUGAUGAAGGCCUUAGGGUUGUAAAGCUCUUUUACCCGGGAUGAUAAUGACAGUACCGGGAGAAUAAGCUCCGGCUAACUUCGUGCCAG